CUGAUCCAGCCAUGCCGCGUGAGUGAUGAAGGCCUUAGGGUCGUAAAGCUCUUUCGCCAGGGAUGAAAAUGACAGUACCUGGUAAAGAAACCCCGGCUAACUCCGUGCCAGCAGCCGCGGUAAUACGGAGGGGGUUCUGAUCCAGCCAUGCCGCGUGAGUGAUGAAGGCCUUAGGGUCGUAAAGCUCUUUCGCCAGGGAUGAAAAUGACAGUACCUGGUAAAGAAACCCCGGCUAACUCCGUGCCAGCAGCCGCGGUAAUACGGAGGGGGUUAGCGUUGUUCGGAAUUACUGGGCGUAAAGCGUACUUAGGCGGAUCAGAAAGUAAGGGGGGAAAUCCCAGGGCUCAACCCUGGAACUGCCUCUUAAACUCCUGGUCUAGAGUUCGAGAGAGGUGAGUGGAAUUCCAAGUGUAGAGGUGAAAUUCGUAUAUAUUUGGAGGAACACCAGUGGCUAAAGCGGCUCACUGGCUCGAUACUGACGCUGAAGUACCAAAGUGUGGGGAGCAAACAGGAUUAGAUACCCUGGUAGUCCACACCGUAAACGAUGAAUGCCAGACGUCGGGCAGUAUACUGUUCGGUGUCACACCUAACGGAUUAAGCAUUCCGCCUGGGGAGUACGGUCGCAAGAUUAAAACUCAAAGGGAUUGACGGAGAAAAUWGUUUCCUACGGGAGGCAGCAGUGGGGAAUCUUGGACAAUGGGCGCAAGCCUGAUCCAGCCAUGCCGCGUGAGUGAUGAAGGCCUUAGGGUCGUAAAGCUCUUUCGCCAGGGAUGAUAAUGACAGUACCUGGUAAAGAAACCCCGGCUAACUCCGUGCCAGCAGCCGCGGUAAUACGGAGGGGGU
rnacentral:rRNA from 1 species